GCUGACAUGUCCCGGCCAAUCUCCAGCAGACCCUCCCUCCCAGACCCUCCUACUUCCUGGACAGCAUCCAUGUUUAAUGUUGAAACAUGGAUGCUGUCCAGGAAGUAGGAGGGUCUGGGAGGGAGGGUCUGCUGGAGAUUGGCCGGGACGUGUCAG